ACGAACGCUGGCGGCGUGCUUCACACAUGCAAGUCGAGCGGAAAGGCCCUUCGGGGUACUCGAGCGGCGAACGGGUGAGUAACACGUGAGUAACCUGCCCCAGACUUUGGGAUAACCCUCGGAAACGGGGGCUAAUACCGGAUACGACACAGCUUCGCAUGGGGUCUGUGUGGAAAGUUUUUCGGUUUGGGAUGGGCUCGCGGCCUAUCAGCUUGUUGGUGGGGUGAUGGCCUACCAAGGCGACGACGGGUAGCCGGCCUGAGAGGGCGACCGGCCACACUGGGACUGAGACACGGCCCAGACUCCUACGGGAGGCAGCAGUGGGGAAUAUUGCACAAUGGGCGGAAGCCUGAUGCAGCGACGCCGCGUGAGGGAUGACGGCCUUCGGGUUGUAAACCUCUUUCAGCAGGGACGAAGCGUAAGUGACGGUACCUGCAGAAGAAGCGCCGGCCAACUACGUG
rnacentral:rRNA from 1 species